AGUCCAUGAUGUGGACAUUUUCUUAAAAAAUCUGUAAAUCUUUCCUAUGCUUCAUAAAAUGACUCACCAUCAUGUUGAUUAAAACUAGUAAUAUCCAUCCUAAGUUG